CAUGACACUGAUAAAUAGUUUGA
rnacentral:miRNA from 1 species